rnacentral:rRNA from 1 species
UGAGCAAUCUGCCCUUCUCAUCGGAAUAAGCGUUGGAAACGACGUCUAAUGCCGAAUACGACCUCCUUUCGCAUGAUCGGAGGUGGAAAGCUCCGGCGGAGAAGGAUGAGCUCGCGGCCUAUCAGCUAGUUGGUGAGGUAACGGCUCACCAAGGCAACGGACGGGUAGCUGGUCUGAGAGGAUGGCCAGCCACAUUGGGACUGAGACACGGCCCAGAUCC